AUUGAACGCUGGCGGCAUGCCUUACACAUGCAAGUCGAACGGCAGCACGGGAGCUUGCUCCUGGUGGCGAGUGGCGAACGGGUGAGUAAUACAUCGGAACGUACCCUGAAGUGGGGGAUAACGUAGCGAAAGUUACGCUAAUACCGCAUAUUCUGUGAGCAGGAAAGAGGGGGAUCGCAAGACCUCUUGCUUUAGGAGCGGCCGAUGUCGGAUUAGCUAGUUGGUGAGGUAAAGGCUCACCAAGGCGACGAUCCGUAGCGGGUCUGAGAGGAUGAUCCGCCACACUGGGACUGAGACAUGGCCCAGACUCCUACGGGAGGCAGCAGUGGGGAAUUUUGGACAAUGGGCGCAAGCCUGAUCCAGCCAUGCCGCGUGAGUGAAGAAGGCC
rnacentral:rRNA from 1 species